rnacentral:rRNA from 1 species
UACGUAGGGGGCAAGCGUUGUCCGGAUUUAUUGGGCGUAAAGAGCGUGUAGGCGGCCAGGUAGGUCAGCUGUGAAAACUCGAGGCUCAACCUCGAGACGUCGGUUGAAACCACCUGGCUAGAGUCCGGAAGAGGAGAGUGGAAUUCCUGGUGUAGCGGUGAAAUGCGCAGAUAUCAGGAAGAACACCAAUGGCGAAGGCAGCUCUCUGGGACGGUACUGACGCUGAGACGCGAAAGCGUGGGGAGCGAACAGG